rnacentral:lncRNA from 1 species
CUGCGGCAGAUCCUGUUUGGAAACACAGUCCAUGUCUUUAGCUAUAACUGGAAAAAGGCCUAUUUCAGGUUCCAUGAUCCUUCUUCUGAACUAGCUUUCACUCUGGAAGUGGGAAAGGGAGGGGCCCGAAGCAUUCAGAUGGCUGUGCAAGGAUCCAUCAUCAAAUACUUGUUGUUUACCAGGAAAGGAAAAGACUGUAACCUUGGCAACUUAUGUGAAAUAAGCAAGAAGGAGCAGGAGCAAGCCUUGGCCGCGGCGCUUGCUGGCAUCCUGUGGGCUGCAGGAGCAGCUCAGAAGGCCACCAUCUGUCUUGUCACUGAGGACAUUUACGUUGCGUCGACUCCGGACUACUCUGUGGACAAUUUCACUGAGCGACUCCAGCUGUUUGAAUUUUUAGAGAAAGAAGCCGCUGAGAAAUUCAUCUACGAUCACUUACUAUGUUUCAGAGGGGAAGGAAGCCAUGGUGUCAUCCUGUUUCUGUACAGCCUGAUCUUCUCUAGAACAUUUGAAAGGCUUCAAAUGGACCUAGAUGUCACCACCACUCAGCUGCUACAACCAAAUGCUGGAGGCUUUCUGUGCAGGCAGGCAGUUCUGAACAUGAUUUUAACUGGAAGAGCAAGUCCCAAUGUCUUCAAUGGCUGUGAGGAAGGAAAGUCUCAGGAAACACUACAUGGAGUCCUGACCCGCAGUGAUGUUGGCUAUUUGCAGUGGGGUAAGGAUGCCUCGGAAGAUGACAGACUCUCACAGGUGGGCAGCAUGCUGAAGACUCCCAAAUUACCUAUUUGGCUGUGCAACAUCAAUGGAAAUUACAGCAUCCUUUUUUGCACAAACAGGCAGCUCUUAUCAGACUGGAAAAUGGAACGUCUCUUUGAUCUGUACUUUUACAGUGGCCAACCCUCACAGAAAAAGCUUGUGCGUCUUACAAUAGAUACUCACUCCCAUCACUGGGAAAGAGACCAACAGGAAGAGAAACAUGGACCAAGACGACGGUUUUCACCAGUGGAGAUGGCAAUCAGAACCAAGUGGAGCGAGGCCACCAUCAACUGGAAUGGGACCGUUCCCUUCUUCUAA